CCUACGGGAGGCAGCAGUAAGGAAUAUUGGACAAUGCUCGCAAGAGUGAUCCAGCCAUGCCGCGUGCAGGAAGAAUGCCCUAUGGGUAGUAAACUGCUUUUGAACUAGAGAAAAUCCCAGUACGUGUACUGGGCUGAUAGUAUAGUUAGAAUAAGCAUCGGCUAACUUCGUGCCAGCAGCCGCGGUAAGACGAAGGAUGCAAGCGUUAUCCGGAUUCAUUGGGUUUAAAGGGAGCGUAGGUGGACUGAUAAGUCAGUGGUGAAAUCUCCGAGCUUAACUCGGAAAUUGCCAUUGAUACUGUUGGUCUUGAGUACAGUUGCUGUGGGCGGAAUAUGACAUGUAGUGGUGAAAUACAUAGAGAUGUCAUAGAACACCGAUUGCGAAGGCAGCUCACAAAGCUGUAACUGACACUGAGGCUCGAAAGUGCGGGGAUCAAACAGGAUUAGAUACCCUGGUAGUCCGCACCGUAAACGAUGAUUACUCGCUGCUAGGGGGCAACCUUUAGUGGCUUAGCGAAAGCGAUAAGUAAUCACCUGGGAGUACGCCGGCAACGGUGAAACGUCAAANAGAGUUAGAGNGNGAGAGNGCGACGGACGACGACGAGGGAGGAGG
rnacentral:rRNA from 1 species